rnacentral:misc_RNA from 1 species
GAUGAAGAACGCAGCGAAAUGCGAUAAGUAAUGUGAAUUGCAGAAUUCAGUGAAUCAUCGAAUCUUUGAACGCACAUUGCGCCCCUUGGUAUUCCGAGGGGCAUGCCUGUUCGAGCGUCAUUUCAACCCUCAAGCACAGCUUGGUCUUGGGCUUCGCCGCUAACCCGGCGGGUCUUAAAAUCAGUGGCGGUGCCGUCGGGCCCUGAGCGCAGUAAUCUCUCUCGCUAUAAGGUCCCGGCGGAUGCUGGCCAGUAACCCCCAAUUUUCUAUGGUUGACCUCGGAUCAGGUAGGGAUACCCGCUGAACUUAAGCAUAUCAAUAAGCGGAGGA